CAACCUAUAGUGUUAUUUUCAUUCGGGUACUUUUGGUCAUGAAUAGCUGUUUUUGUACUUAUGCAUCUUUUUCUUUCUUUUUUGUUUUGUAACUAUGCAUUCUAGGAGAAGGUUAAUCCAGAAAAAUGUUUAAAACUCAGAAAAUUAAGGAAGUUUAAAUUAUUUUUUUCAAAAAUUUUGGCAUGUGUGUUUUUUUCUGCCAUGUGUUUUAUGAUUCCCAUUUUUUAUCUUUUUUCUAAUUUUGCUUUUUUUUAUUAGAUCCGGUGAAAAGUUGAAAAGAUGAAAGAAACACAAAAACAAUCAAAGAUCAAGAAAUUCGAAAAUUCAUGAUAACGUUCUGAGUAUUAACCGCAUGUAUUGUGUUUAUUCAUAGGAAUUGCAAAUCCUGCUACAACUGAAGAAAGACGAAAUUGGGCUGUUUUGAGUAAUACUGGUGGAAGCUUUGUUAUCACACAGAAAUGGGCUCACAGAAUGGAUACAGUAAAAGUUGAAAGACCGGAUGAUGCUAUCGUUGAUCAACAGAAUCAAUGGAUUGGACGCAAAAGAGAAAAUGGAAGAUUGUUAGAGGAUAUACAACCUAGAGCUCAUGUUAACUUAAUGAGAAGAGUUCAAGAAGGAGAAGGAAGUGCACAAAUAGUGAGGCAAUCUCUUCCAUACACUGAAGAAAACGGCCAUUCAGGAUUGUUUUUCCUUGCGUACUCAAACAAUACAGAUGUGUUUGAAAGGAUGUUAGCAGAAAUGACAAAUGGAGAGGGUGAUAUGCUCUUUGGUCUUUCGGCUAAUACAAGUGGAACAUAUUGGUAUUUUCCUGGGAUGACAGAACUGGAGAAUCUGUAUAAGAACAUAUGAUUAAUCUGUAUAUUAUUAUUGCUAUUCAUAUUCUAUAUUCAAAAUUUGUGCUGCUUAUAUCCAACUUAAUGUUAUUAAUUAUCGGGCAAUGCUAGUUCUUUCAUUGUAGAUUUUAAGUUUAUCAAAUGUAUACAACUAUACCAUACAUAUAUCAUAACCAUUUUUUUGCUUCCUUGCGUACUAUUAUAUUUGAUCAAAUUAUUAAACUUAAACUUUUACGGGGUUUGAAUGAUCUUAAUUUCAAAAUCUAUCUUUAAUCUUAUACUGCACAAUAUUAUCCAUGCAACUCUUAUAGUCCAAUACUUCCAACAUUUUGGGUGUACAUUGGUGAUGGAAUAAAAUGAAGAAAGUUUUGUAAGUUAUUCUCUGGGACACGAACUCUUUUCUCAACAAAAAACAAAACGUAGAAUUGUUAUUUUUGUUUUUAUAUUUGAUUUGGCAUAUUUGCUUCCUGAUAAAUGAGUUCUUGAAUAAAAAAAUGUAAUAAAAAAUGUAUUUUUUAAAGACGAAAAGCGCGGUUCAAUCUACCAUUUUCUACAUAAGGAAAUGCCCGUACCAAGUCAGGAAUAUGACAGUUGUUCUCCAUUAGUUUGAUGUGUUUGAGCUUUUGAUUUCGCUUUUUAACAAGGGAAUUUCUGUUUUAAAUUUUCCUUGGAGUUCGGUAUAUUUGUUAUUUUACUUUUUAUUUUACUUAAUGUAUGUUCUUAUGAGAUCAAUUUCUCCAUUGAAUUCACCACUUAGUCAGUUUGUGCAUUUUUUAACUACAAAAUUUUAGAUAUAUUUAUUUUUUUAAAGUUUUACCGUAUAUUUGAAGGAGAGGUUUAGCUAGAUAUAAUAAAGACUUAUUAGGCUCAGCAUUAAAUCAACAAAACGGAAUAGAAUCCGUGAUCAUAGAAAAUGUAAAUUGAAAUUGUAAAAAACGUAAUUUUUAUAGACAAAAACCGCGUUGUACCUAGACAUUUUUGCGACACUUUCAUUUGAAUUAAUGGGGGUCCAACUUUUAAGGUUCGUGUCUUUGUCGUAAAUGCUGGUAAAUAAUCUGAUUUUCAUUUUUGUGCGAAGGAAAUGUAAGUGUCUAUUCUUAUGUAAUCAAUUAUGUCAUUGGAUUACCACUUCGUCAAUUUUAUUCGUUGUAUUAAUUUUCUAACUAGAACAUUGUAAAACUGUUAAAACUGAGACUUUCAAUUUUGACUCCUUCUCUCAAAAUUUACUUUUAGUGUA